AGACCCGAAACCCGGUGAUCUAGCCAUGGGCAGGUUGAAGGUUGGGUAACACUAACUGGAGGACCGAACCGACUAAUGUUGAAAAAUUAGCGGAUGACCUGUGGCUGGGGGUGAAAGGCCAAUCAAACCGGGAGAUAGCUGGUUCUCCCCGAAAGCUAUUUAGGUAGCGCCUCGUGAAUUCAUCUCCGGGGGUAGAGCACUGUUUCGGCUAGGGGGCCAUCCCGGCUUACCAACCCGAUGCAAACUGCGAAUACCGGAGAAUGUUAUCACGGGAGACACACGGCGGGUGCUAACGUCCGUCGUGAAGAGGGAAACAACCCAGACCGCCAGCUAAGGUCCCAAAGUCAUGGUUAAGUGGGAAACGAUGUGGGAAGGCCCAGACAGCCAGGAUGUUGGCUUAGAAGCAGCCAUCAUUUAAAGAAAGCGUAAUAGCUCACUGGUCGAGUCGGCCUGCGCGGAAGAUGUAACGGGGCUAAACCAUGCACCGAAGCUGCGGCAGCGACACUGUGUGUUGUUGGGUAGGGGAGCGUUCUGUAAGCCUGUGAAGGUGUGCUGUGAGGCAUGCUGGAGGUAUCAGAAGUGCGAAUGCUGACAUAAGUAACGAUAAAGCGGGUGAAAAGCCCGCUCGCCGGAAGACCAAGGGUUCCUGUCCAACGUUAAUCGGGGCAGGGUGAGUCGACCCCUAAGGCGAGGCCGAAAGGCGUAGUCGAUGGGAAACGGGUUAAUAUUCCCGUACUUGGUGUUACUGCGAAGGGGGGACGGAGAAGGCUAUGUUGGCCGGGCGACGGUUGUCCCGGUUUAAGCGUGUAGGUGUGUGUUCCAGGUAAAUCCGGUUCACUUUAACACUGAGGCGUGACGACGAGGCACUACGGUGCUGAAGCAACAAAUGCCCUGCUUCCAGGAAAAGCCUCUAAGCAUCAGGUAACACGAAAUCGUACCCCAAACCGACACAGGUGGUCAGGUAGAGAAUACCAAGGCGCUUGAGAGAACUCGGGUGAAGGAACUAGGCAAAAUGGUGCCGUAACUUCGGGAGAAGGCACGCUGACACGUAGGUGAAGUGAUUUACUCAUGGAGCUGAAGUCAGUCGAAGAUACCAGCUGGCUGCAACUGUUUAUUAAAAACACAGCACUGUGCAAACACGAAAGUGGACGUAUACGGUGUGACGCCUGCCCGGUGCCGGAAGGUUAAUUGAUGGGGUCAGCGCAAGCGAAGCUCCUGAUCGAAGCCCCGGUAAACGGCGGCCGUAACUAUAACGGUCCUAAGGUAGCGAAAUUCCUUGUCGGGUAAGUUCCGACCUGCACGAAUGGCGUAAUGAUGGCCAGGCUGUCUCCACCCGAGACUCAGUGAAAUUGAACUCGCUGUGAAGAUGCAGUGUACCCGCGGCAAGACGGAAAGACCCCGUGAACCUUUACUAUAGCUUGACACUGAACAUUGAGCCUUGAUGUGUAGGAUAGGUGGGAGGCUUUGAAGCGUGGACGCCAGUCUGCGUGGAGCCAACCUUGAAAUACCACCCUUUAAUGUUUGAUGUUCUAACGUGGACCCGUAAUCCGGGUUGCGGACAGUGUCUGGUGGGUAGUUUGACUGGGGCGGUCUCCUCCUAAAGAGUAACGGAGGAGCACGAAGGUUGGCUAAUCCUGGUCGGACAUCAGGAGGUUAGUGCAAUGGCAUAAGCCAGCUUGACUGCGAGCGUGACGGCGCGAGCAGGUGCGAAAGCAGGUCAUAGUGAUCCGGUGGUUCUGAAUGGAAGGGCCAUCGCUCAACGGAUAAAAGGUACUCCGGGGAUAACAGGCUGAUACCGCCCAAGAGUUCAUAUCGACGGCGGUGUUUGGCACCUCGAUGUCGGCUCAUCACAUCCUGGGGCUGAAGUAGGUCCCAAGGGUAUGGCUGUUCGCCAUUUAAAGUGGUACGCGAGCUGGGUUUAGAACGUCGUGAGACAGUUCGGUCCCUAUCUGCCGUGGGCGCUGGAGAACUGAGGGGGGCUGCUCCUAGUACGAGAGGACCGGAGUGGACGCAUCACUGGUGUUCGGGUUGUCAUGCCAAUGGCACUGCCCGGUAGCUAAAUGCGGAAGAGAUAAGUGCUGAAAGCAUCUAAGCACGAAACUUGCCCCGAGAUGAGUUCUCCCUGAGACUUAAAGUCUCCUGAAGGAACGUUGAAGACGACGACGUUGAUAGGCCGGGUGUGUAAGCGCAGCGAUGCGUUGAGCUAACCGGUACUAAUGAACCGUGAGGCUUAACCUUACAACGCCGAAG
rnacentral:rRNA from 1 species